GAUGAACGCUGGCGGCGUGCCUAAUACAUGCAAGUCGAGCGAACAGACGAGGAGCUUGCUCCUCUGACGUUAUCGGCGGACGGGUGAGUAACACGUGGAUAACCUACCUAUAAGACUGGGAUAACUUCGGGAAACCGGAGCUACUACCGGAUAAUAUAUUGAACCGCAUGGUUCAAUAGUUAAAGACGGUUUUGCUGUCACUUAUAGAUGGAUCCGCCCCGCAUUAGCUAGUUGGUAAGGUAACGGCUUACCAAGGCAACGAUGCGUACCCGACCUGAGAGGGUGAUCCGCCACACUGGAACUGAGAAACGGUCCAGACUCCUACGGGAGGCAGCAGUAGGGAAUCUUCCGCAAUGGGCGAAAGCCUGACGGAGCAACGCCGCGUGAGUGAUGAAGGUCUUCGGAUCGUAAAACUCUGUUAUUAGGGAAGAACAAAUGUGUAAGUAACUAUGCACGUCUUGACGGUACCUAAACAGAAAGCCACGGCUAACUACGUG
rnacentral:rRNA from 1 species